rnacentral:tRNA from 1 species
AAGGGAGACCUAAUUCAGGUAGGAGACGAAAAAAAAGUAGUCGCUACCAAGAAUCAAUCCCAAAAGGUCGGAGCGAGGCGAAAUUGGCUUUCAAACUAGGUUCUGGGUUCACACAAGACCUGAAUCAGGAACAAGGGCUAUUAGCUCAGGUGGUUAGAGCGCACCCCUGAUAAGGGUGAGGUCCCUGGUUCGAGUCCAGGAUGGCCCACCUGUACAGGUGGCAAAAAGAAAGAAAAGAAGCGAGGAAUCAGCACCUUAUCUUACUGACAUAGUAAGAGAGAAUGCUGGCUCUGAGUAAAGAGUCCAGAGGAACCUUGAAGACUGCAUAGAGCUAGGUGAAAAAGCCAAAAAAGAAGACCGCAA